GACGAACGCUGGCGGCGUGCUUAACACAUGCAAGUCGAACGAAGAGCGAUGGAAGCUUGCUUCUAUCAAUCUGAGUGGCGUACGGGUGAGUAACGCGUAAUCAACCUGCCCUUCAGAGGGGGACAACAGUUGGAAACGACUGCUAAUACCGCAUACGAUCUAAUCUCGGCAUCGAGGAUAGAUUAAAGGUGGCCUCUACAUGUAAGCUAUCACUGAAGGAGGGGAUUGCGUCUGAUUCGCUAGUUGGAGGGGUAACGGCCCAACAAGGCGAUGAUCAGGAGCCGGGCUGAGAGGAUGAACGGCCACCAUGGGACUGGGACAAGGCCCAGACUCCUACGGGAAGGAGCAGUGGGGAAUCUUCCGAAAUGGAGGAAAGGCUGACGGAGCAACGCCGCGUGGGGGAUGACGGCCUUCGGGUUGUAAAGCUCUGUUAAUCGGGAAGAAAGGCCUUCUUGCGAAUAGUGAGAAGGAUUGACGGUACCGGAAUAGAAAGCAACGGCUAACUACGUG
rnacentral:rRNA from 1 species